CACGUAGGGCGCAAGCGUUGUCCGGAAUUAUUGGGCGUAAAGAGCUCGUAGGCGGUCUGUUGCGUCCGCUGUGAAAACUCGGGGCUUAACCCCGAGCCUGCAGUGGAUACGGGCAGACUAGAGGUAGGUAGGGGAGAAUGGAAUUCCCGGUGUAGCGGUGAAAUGCGUAGAUAUCAGGAGGAACACCGGUGGUGUAGACGGCUUUCUGGACCGUAACUGACGCUGAAACACGAAAGCGUGGGUAGCAAACAGG
rnacentral:rRNA from 1 species